UGAGGAAUAUUGGUCAAUGGACGCAAGUCUGAACCAGCCAAGUAGCGUGCAGGAUGACGGCCCUAUGGGUUGUAAACUGCUUUUAUAUGGGGAUAAAGUGGUGAACGUGUUCCCUUUUGCAGGUACCAUAUGAAUAAGGACCGGCUAAUUCCGUGCCAGCAGCCGCGGUAAUACGGAAGGUUCGGGCGUUAUCCGGAUUUAUUGGGUUUAAAGGGAGCGUAGGCCGUUUGGUAAGCGUGUUGUGAAAUGUAGGAGCUCAACUUCUAGAUUGCAGCGCGAACUGUCAGACUUGAGUGCGCACAACGUAGGCGGAAUUCAUGGUGUAGCGGUGAAAUGCUUAGAUAUCAUGAAGAACUCCGAUUGCGAAGGCAGCUUACGGGAGCGCAACUGACGCUGAAGCUCGAAGGUGCGGGUAUCGAACAGG
rnacentral:rRNA from 1 species